AGCGCUGUCCAAUCAGAUCGGGGAGCUACAACCGCAGCGUGAACAGGGGAGGACGCACCUAUUCCAGUUGCACAAUGCUGAGAGAGGAUAGGCGAAACCUUGGACCACCAACGGCAAAUUGGCAAUCUGGGGGAGGCUGUCAACGGGCCGCUAUGGUUCGACAAUCCACAAACAGCUGGGGGUCGUGGAGACGGGGGCUGCCAGGGUACAAAGCGACGCAUCAGUGGCCAACCAUGGGAAAGAGCUGUCAACACGCUUGCCCAGCUGGCAGUCACAACGCUCCCACGGGGCCCACAGUCGACUGAAGUGAAGAGUUAAGGAUGCUGAGGGAUCAUAAGGGAUACCUGCAGGAGCAGGGGAAUCUUAACUCUGAUGAACCUCUGUCAACAAGAUGAAUAGUUGGCCCAGCAUCAAAGGCAGACUCCAGCCGGCCAUUCUGACCACCACAAAGGGGCGUUGGGCGCUGGCGCGGGGCCAGGUGCUACACAUGGUCACAUGGGGACAAGCAGUGCAGAUGGGCCCUGCAGAGGCCUUGUCGCCCUCCACCCCCACGCCUGCACACCAGAGAGCACAGAUCUAAGACUUGGGCCGCCUGUGGAACUGAACCAGCUGAGGACUGCCUACAGUUGGAUUCCAAGGUUGGACCAUGACCAAAAGGAGCUGAAGGAGGAUUUUCAGAACAUUUUUCAGUAUCUUGGCUUCCAGGAGUGAAAAAUGGAGUUUAGGCAUCCAAAACAAGGAAUUGGCUGAGGUGCGGAAGAAAUCAGUAGGACACGCUGCAAUAACAAAUGGACACAACAAAAGGCGGGACAAGAGUCAGACAAUAAUAAAGACAGAGGAGGGGGAAGAAGAGAAUAAGCAGCCGGAUCUUAACUUCCUGGGUGUGUGCUGGCCCGAGAGGCCACCCUAAAGGUCAUUUUUACACGAGACUUAACUGUAACAAUGAGAUUUCAGAAAAGAAAGAAAAACAUUGGCCCCCCUCCACAUGGAGACCCUUUUUUUUCUAAAAAUAGGUUGUGGGUUUAAAAUAAAAACUCACGUUCACAUGGAACUGUUUCCAGAAAUGUUUUCAACCACUAUUUUUACUCCUCCAGACCUGUAAGUGGCGCUAAACAUGGACGUUGGGACAUGCAAGUAAAACCUCCACAUGUGGUCACCAGUAAAUACAAUAAGGAAAACAGCGCGAGUGGAGCCUUUUGUGUAGAGCCCUGAUGACAUUGAACUUCUUCUCCGUGUCAUGUCGAAUUAUAAAACACAUAAAUUACAAGAUGGCAAACAUGUAAACUACCAUUUUUGUUGCCAUGUAUUACAUGCCUGUUGUUGUAAGUCAGGUUAGAAGUAUCAGUGUUUUCAGAAAUAGCCAUUUUUUCUGUUUAUGUAAUCACAAAACUUUAAUUUGUGCCAUUUAUGAAAACAAAAAUAUGGAUUCUAAGUUUCCCCAGCUAUUAGAAGUCACUGCUGUUGAUUACUGGUUCAGGGCUAGAAGAGUGAAAAUAUAAAAAAACCUAUUAUUUUUAAUAAAACAUAGCAAUAAAAAGAAGGGGAAAUAGAUCAAAUCAACACCACACACAGAACACACAAGGACAGAGUGAAAUGAAAAGAUGAGAUCAUAGAUCAGUUUCUACAACAUUUGAUGGGUCCUAUUGGUUGUCUGAUGUGGCUGACUCUUUCGCUCAUGAAAAUCUGUCCUGUAGCAGCUUGUUGUCAAACUCCUUCAUAAAUCAGAGCUUGUAUGAAAUACCAGCAGGAGGCAAAGGUCAAAGGAGAAAAUUAGCAGCUGUCCUUUCCUUUCCUUUCAUGUUAGCUGUGGGGCUAAUCACCAAGUCUGCCAUCAGCCUCAUUUCCACUUUAAAACAACGUUGCCGACGACGGGGGUGGGGGCUUUUCCCCUCUGCUUACAUUUUAUGGCACCAGUGACCAGAUUUUUAUCUGUGCAGAAAGUAGGGGAGACAUGUAGUUUAGAAUGAGGGGCUGUACAUUUCUCUCAGCCUUUUGUUUCAGCAUUCAUUUCUGCACAUCGUCUUCAGGUUCUGCUUCUUUCAUGCAGCUCUGUCGACACACUUCAGCAGCUCCAGAGCAGCGGUGAUGACGGCUGAACUUCUUUGCCUCUGCUCAACUCCAAGGUGGUUCUGCUAGUUAAUGUGAAGCCUGGUGAACUUUGAUGAUCCCCUCACUCUCACAGUGUCUGUUGUUCUCUUGCUGUACUGAUUCAACUUCAAAGUAGAUUAAAAAAAUGUAAUUAUGGCCUAUACUUGUUAUCACUAGAAUUAACGUUAUGGAAGUGUUUCCCAAUAUCUUGAAGGGAAGUUUUUCAGAUUUUUGGUGUCCCCAUUAGACAUAAUGUGUUUCAAUAAUGACUGAGAUGCUAAAGAAAGAGAAAAGACAAUGUACAUAGUUUGUCAAUAAUAAUAUUCAACAAUUCCUCGAUUGCAAAGGUUUUUCUAAGGCUGUGGACCCAUAUGAUAGACCAAGAUUUGCUAAUAUAAGUUAGUAGCAAUGGGUUUUUGUUUGUUGCAACAGAAUAAAGGGGUGUGAUUAUUAGUAGACACCACACUUUUCAGGUUUUUACUUCAUGUAAUGUUCCUUCCUCUUCACAAUUGUGUACUUCAAGUUGCACUGUCACAUGAAAUUCCCAUUAACGUCUUUGCAUUUAGUUGUAACGUGACAAAAUGUGAGAAACUCCAGUUGGUGUAAAUACUUUAGCCUGACAUUGUAUUUCAUUCUUGUUUAGUUUUGUGUUCCUCUUUAAGGUUUCCUGCUGGCAGAUGAGUUUUUACUGCUGCAUAUAACAUAUUUUAUCUCAUUUAAAGCUGCAGAAGGUAAUCUUUAUAAAAAGUAGGUUCUUUACAUGUUUUUUUUUUAAUUAUCACUUUGUCUUGAAAGUAUAUUAUCAGAAAGAUCAUCUGUGGAAAAUGUGAGCGCUACCAUCUACAGAAAUACACCAAUCCCAGUCAGAAACAACCAAUCAGACCUAAGGGGAGAGUCUUAGUGCUGCCAAUCAUCCUUGUGUAUGUACUGCUCACAACAUCACCUUGUGUACAAGAUCUAGAUUGCAGGUUUGCUUCAUAUUUGCUAAUGGAGGAGAAACAACAUAAUGUUACAGGAAAACUGUUCAUGCAGUGUCAUCGGUGGCCAUGCUAACUAUUCUGCACAUUCACUGUAGGCUAGCUGUAGCGUAGCAAAGAGCAAGGGGGAGGGUGUGGGCAGCGAGUACACAAGGUGAUUGGCAGCACUAAGACUCUCCUCCUAGGUCUGAUUGGUUGUUUCUAAUCAGGAGCAAUGUUGUAGGUCUCCUAGUGCAACUUUAAUGACAAGAUAUGAAUGAUUUUCUAAUCAUAUGAGUUGAUUUUGAAGUAUUUCUGAACUUUGGUUUAACUAACAUCACCAGUAAGUGAUAAAAAGAGAUUUAUUUUCUCCUUUUUUGUUUGCUAUUCGCUACUUCUCAGGACAAAAGUUUCACAAGUUUUCUCCUAUGAGACAUGUUUUCAACCCCACAUUCAAUGUGGCUAAAAUGCAUAAAAAUGACAUUAUACAUAUUUUUUCUGUCCUUUUACAGCUCUCUCUCUCUCCACUCUUUGACCCCUUUCUCCCUUUUUCCCCUUUAUGUACUUUCAUUUUACAUCUCUCUUCUCCAGUUCUGCACCCUUUCUCGAUCUUUUUUUCCCUCUCUGUGGGAAAGUUUUCCCUAUCGGUUGUCAAAGCAGUCAGUGAGGUGCAAAGCAGCGUAGCUUUGAUGAUGUUCCUCUUUGCCUAUCUGCUGUGCAAUAUGUUUUGAAACUCUCCCUCCCCUCUGCACACCUGCUGAGAAGCUGCAUGAUACUGGGAAACAUUCCACAAUAGGGUCAGAACACUUUUAUCUUAGUUUUAGUUAUGGAUUUGGAAACUCUUUCAGGAUUAAAGGAACGUUAUGCAGCUGGCCGGAGCUGAGCACCUGUAUGAUUGCUCUUUUUUGCUUCAUGUGGGACUUCCUUUAUUCCCAGUAGGUGGGUCUGGCUCGCUAAAAAAUAUCACUGCCUUAAAGAAGAGAGAAAAAAAAGUGAAGAUCAGUGUUUCAUUCUGGAGCCAAACAUUCUGUUUUGCUCAAAACCAUUUUGUUUGUACAUUCAUGAGUCAUUGCGGUUUGAGACUGAAAGUGAUUGAAUGCUACAAAUGAGGCUUUUGGGUGGUUUUUGCCCAGUAACUUCACUUUGUGAUUUCAUAUGAGAUACUUUUGGAGAUUGGCGCGCAAAGCGCAGCCUAAAGAGACUGUGACUCACACUGAAACCAUGAAAGUUUGUUAAUUAUUAUUUAACUUCGUCACAGAAAAGCGAGGAGUUUUGAGUUGUUUGGUUCUUUGAUUCUACGUUUGCAGUUUGGGUGGGUGAGUUUACUUUACUGAGUAAACAAACAAAGACAUGUUACUUUCACAUUUGGGAUUCAUUGAACGUUUAUGCAAUCCCAUAUUUUAAGAGGAUAGCCAUGCUCCAAUGUAUGAAUCAUGGGGCUGCGGUAGACUUCUUGUCCUUUGAAAUUCAGCAUUUACUUAUACUAAACACAAAUCCAGUACUUUUCCAACUGUAUUGUAUGUAAAAAGCACAAGAUCCUACCAGUAUUGCAGGGACUACUUUGGUAGUAUAAAUUGUUCUUAAGGACAGUCUGCUUUGGCCAGGUGGCCACUAAAAGUGCUUGGCAUUUGCCAUUUGAAUCUAAAGGUUUGCACCAUACACAGCAAAAGCAGUCGCUCAUCUGCCUUCAGAUGAGAGAAGGCAGAUGAGCGAAACGACGUGCUGUCCCAUUUUGAAUCGAUAUAAUUUAUCAAAUCCUUUUGAAACUGCUUCAACUCUUCUGUGAAGGUUUCCUGUGAGAGUUUGUGUUUAUGGGACAUUGGACCUUUCUUCCAGAAGCUCAUUUGUUAGGUCAAACACUGAUGUUGGACCAGAAGGCCUGGCUUACAGUCUCAUCUCUAAUUUAUCCAAAGUUUGAGAUUUUGGAAUCAAAAUUUGUGUUACUUAUGAGCAGAAAAAAAACCAGCUCUCUUUUUGCCACCCUGGACUUUCAUCUGGCUUCUUUUGUCUACAUGCUGUUGCUGUGGCAUCAGAUAAAUAUUCAACAAUAGGAAUGAGAGAUGAAUGCAUGUUUAUCACAUCCUGUAUUCCUACAUAAUGUGAAUCUAACUUUAAAAUUAAACUUAAUAGUGUUGUUGCUUUUAUCAUCGUCCUUCACCUGGUCAAACAUUUUUACGGGAUGAUUGAGUUAUUUUGUCUCUUUUUCUGUCAGUACAUCCUGUGAAAUGCUCUGAGUCCAGCAGCAGGAAGCAGCUUGGUGUUUAAUGGGGCAGAAUGUGAAUAAAAAAACAAGGUUGAACGUAACAACACAGACCAGUCUUUUCCGUGAGGAUGGUAAUGGAAUAUAUGAUUAAUUCUAUGAACACAGACGGUUGUUUGGUUUGUUUCACGGAAUCUGACUUUGUGUCGACACCGCCGCGCAUCAUUCAUACCUUUUAGUCGGAGCGUGACAGAACUGGCAGGGUGUGGAUAUGCUGAUAUCACAAGGACCGUCUGUACCACUUGUUCUUCAGACAAAGACUCGUUGUCACCUCUCUCUGUUUGUUUUAUGGUGUUUUUUUCUGUUUCUUGUUGCUAUCAUGUGAAGAUAUAAACAGUGGUGUUGUGCACCAUCCAGUGAGCAGAACUCAUUAAUCAGUCAUAAUGAUACAUUGACUUGCUGUUCAGAUAGCCUCAGUCUAUUUGCUUUUGCAUUGCACAGUUUACAACUGGUGUCUACAAUGCCAACGGUGAACAUAAAUUCAUUUUUGCAUCAGUCUGUCAUUGAUUUAUUGUCCUCUUGUAUUUAAGAAGAGGACAAAAAGCAUCUCCUAACAAUAUUACAUGUUUUACCAAACUAUGGCCAUCGCUUUCAUUCAGCAGUACUCGUCAUAGUGUCAGAAUCGUAGUCUAAAAUAUCCAAAUUACAGCCUUAAUCAAUGGCAUGUUUUUGUCUCAGGUAUAAACAAAAUUCUCUGGUAUCUCUUUCAAAUGAGUUAUGUCUUCCUAGCACUGAUUGCAUGUUUUAUGCAACCUGGUUUAAAUACAACCCAGUACUACUGUCUUAAAUAGACGCUUAAAGCAGGAGCUUGACGAACAGUCGCCUUAUUUUGUGUUACAUGAGUGUAGAGGUCAGAAGUUAAUUCUUAGCUUUUUUUUUAACUUGUUCAAAUAUGUUUGGCGCUUACGCAAUCACGUUUAUGCUUUUGUAUGUUUUUACUGUUGAUGUAAAAACAUUUGAUUAGACAUUUGAUCUACCCCAUUCGGAUUUUAAAGUUGGAGGGACAACUUCUUAAAUUUUCUGUGGUGUAAUCUGUUCAUUCACUCAGCCUAGUUUUUGAUUGGUUAGCUUUGUGACAUGUGAACAAGAACAAGGAAGUAAAACGUGCAAAGAAGUGUGGAGAAGAGUAAAGAGCUGUUUAUAAAGGUAA